rnacentral:rRNA from 1 species
GACGUAGGAUGCAAGCGUUGUCCGGAUUUAUUGGGCGUAAAGAGUUCGUAGGCGGUUACUUAAGUCUGGUGUUAAAGACGGGAGCUCAACUCCCGCAUGGCAUUGGAAACUGGGUGACUAGAGUGUGGUAGAGGUCUCGGGAAUUCCAGGUGUAGCGGUGAAAUGCGUAGAUAUCGGGAGGAACACCGGUGGCGAAGGCGGCUUCCUGGCCUGUUCUUGACGCUGAGGCGCGAAAGCUAGGGGAGCAAACGGG